rnacentral:rRNA from 1 species
UACGUAGGGUGCGAGCGUUAAUCGGAAUUACUGGGCGUAAAGCGUGCGCAGGCGGUUUUGUAAGCCAGAUGUGAAAUCCCCGGGCUUAACCUGGGAAUGGCAUUUGGGACUGCAAGGCUGGAGUGUGGCAGAGGAGACUGGAAUUCCUGGUGUAGCAGUGAAAUGCGUAGAGAUCGGGAGGAACAUCCAUGGCGAAGGCAGCUACCUGGACCAACACUGACACUGAGGCACGAAAGCGUGGGGAGCAAACAGG